UGAAGGAUUCAGAAAGAAUUAGGUUGUAGAUAAUGCCACGUGGCAUGCUGUCAUUCGUUAAAAAUCUGGUGGAAAUCUAGCCUCAAAGAUUGUAAUCGGAUUAUGACACAUAGCACGAUGUGAUUGAUUAAAAUUUUUAUUGGAAAUCCAUCACCAAUAAUUGUUUUUUCAGAUAAUGACACGUGGCGCAACGACAAUGAUUAAUUUUUUUAUCGGAAAUCCAUCACCAACAAUUGUCUUUGCAGAUAAUGACACGUGGUGCAACUAAAAUGAUUAAAAAUCUUAUCUAAAAUUACAAAUAAAAUUAUUUUGAAUUAUUUUAUAAAUAAAAAUAUACAAAUAUUUUAUUGCUAUUGGCUUUUCGGAUAAUGACACGUGGCGCAAUGAGAACGAUUAAAAAUCUUAUCCGAAAUUACAAAUAAAAUUAUUAUGUAUUAUUUUAUAAAUAAAAAAAAUUAUUGCCAAUUGCAGGGCUAUUCAAUGCAGGGAUGGAGAUGCAAAAGACAAUUGCCACGACAAUUACUGUUAUUUAAGGGUAAUUACUGUUCACUGGAUGUAUUAAAUAAUGAAUAGCCUUGGUGGAGGGCUCGAGUUGCUCUAAUUAUAAGACGGUUUAUAUAUAAUCACGUUUGGCUUUUAAUAACUUGAAAAUGAUAUUAAACAAAUAUAUCGUGGAAAUGUGGAGCUGUUUAAAUCCAUGCACUAACUUAUGACCCAAAUUAGAGUAGCAAGUUGAGUGACUAAUUAAUUUAUCAGGUAUCGAUGGGAAAAGUUUAAUUUAUAAACAAGCUCAAUAUCCUUUUUAAAAGAAUGAUACUAUCCACACAUUUAUUUUUGUCUUUCAUAUACUAUCUGUUAAUUUCUGUCUUUUUAUCUUCAAUUCAUUUGAUCUGAUGGUCGGAAAUUGAGAUAAAUGUUUGAAAGGUAAAAAAAAGGUAUCAACGAAUUUAUUUUAGAGUAUAUGAUGAUCUGUCAUAACACGAGUGAAUUGUAACAAUACAUAGUGUUCUAGUCUUGUGAUAGUUACAUCGAAAACUUCUCGAAUGAAUUAGUUUCUUGGUUUUCUUACAUGUACGUAGACCUGGUGAUAGUUUCGUGUCUACUAUGUUCGUGUCAUUUUCGUGACAUACACGAUAUCUUAACGGAGUGUCAUGUCAAACCUGUUAAAAUGAACGUGUAAUAUCCGUUAAAAUUAACACGUAAUAUAACCUAACUCAUUACCCAUUAAAGAAAAUUGAUUUCACUUCAAUAAAUUAUCAAAUGAAAAACGUCAUACUACAUUAGUAUCUACAUACCACGUUGUCACUAAAUUAGUACCUACACUCCCAAAACUCUAAAAAUUCAAACGAUGAUGUAACCAAAGUCAAGGCGAAGAGGAUGCAAUCACGACUAUUGGCAUAUUUUUUUACAUUUUUCACACUUGUAAAUUAAUUAUUAUGAAUUGUUUCAAAUUUUCAACUCCACCUAAACACAUUGUUCACGAGGGUUGAGAGGGUUUUAAAAAUCCAAACGACGGUGUACCCAUCAUCAAAGCGUA
rnacentral:lncRNA from 1 species